UAUUAUCAUCGUUGCACAGUCCAAAAGUUCAUACAAAUAAAAAUAUUUGCACGAGCCUAAGUGUCACAACUACUUUUGGUGUAUAUAUACACAUGGAUAUGAUAAUAGUGAUUUGAAGAAUUUGUCAAAAAAAAAAAAAUAGUGAUUUGAAGAAGAAAGAAGCAAACUUGACAGAGGCGUAUGGUUGCAAGGGAAGCGUAAUAUGGACAGGCAUGGAGAUGAUGAUGGUGAUUGUGAGGUGGUGGAGACUCAAGAGCUGUGGGAUGGGAAGGAGAUCUGAAGGUAUUGGUCAGAGGUAUCUGUGUCUGUCACCGAUGAUAAGAGCUUCUCCACUACUCAGCCUCUUUUGCUGAAGAGGAGAAACACCACUUCCCAAAUUGCCAUAGUUGGCUCCAAUCUCUAUUCCAUCGAGAGUCUUGACUAUGAGAUUGCUGAAAAUGAACUCUUUAAGCAGGAUUGGAGAUCAAAGAAGAAAAAGCAAAUAUUUCAAAAUGUACUGCUCAUGUGGGCAUUUGCUCUUCUCAUUGGA